UACGUAGGCAGCAAGCGUUGUUCGGAGUUACUGGGCGUAAAGAGUGCGUAGGCGGCCGAUCAAGUCAGAUGUGAAAGUCCUGGGCUUAACCUGGGGACUGCAUUUGAUACUGAUUGGCUUGAAUGCAGGAGAGGAUAGCGGAAUUCCCAGUGUAGAGGUGAAAUUCGUAGAUAUUGGGAAGAACACCGGUGGCGAAGGCGGCUAUCUGGACUGUGAUUGACGCUGAGGCGCGAAAGCGUGGGGAGCAAACAGG
rnacentral:rRNA from 1 species